AUCGCAGUGGCUCCGGUAACCCUUUGUGGCCGUGUGAACUCCCGGCAUUGCCCCUUGCGAGACCCCAGCGGCUGCGGGCGGGGACCCGGCUCCUGGCUGCAGCGGAGGUUGUGGAAUAACGACCCCGUGGCCGUCGCGAUUGUCCCGUCCUCCCAGGUGACAAGAAAGGACCAUGACUGCGGCAGAGCAAACUCGGGGGCUGGUGACCUUCGAGGAGGUGGCUGUGUAUUUCACCCAGGGGCAGGGG